rnacentral:tRNA from 1 species
GCCCGCCCGGGGCGUCCGGCCAGUUCAGCACACCACACAGCGCAACGGCCUCCCUGGCCUCCGGAGCCGUGUGCGCAGGUUCGAAUCCUGCCGGGGGCA